UUUUAUGGAGAGUUUGAUCCUGGCUCAGGAUGAACGCUGGCGGCGUGCCUAAUACAUGCAAGUCGAGCGAACGGAUGAGAAGCUUGCUUCUCUGAUGUUAGCGGCGGACGGG
rnacentral:rRNA from 1 species